GAUGAACGCUGGCGGCGUGCCUAACACAUGCAAGUCGAACGAAGCACCUUACCUGAUUCUUCGGAUGAAAGUUUGGUGACUGAGUGGCGGACGGGUGAGUAACGCGUGGGUAACCUGCCCUGUACAGGGGGAUAACAGCUGGAAACGGCUGCUAAUACCGCAUACGCGCACGAGGAGACAUCUCCUUGUGUGAAAAACUCCGGUGGUACAGGAUGGGCCCGCGUCUGAUUAGCUGGUUGGCAGGGUAACGGCCUACCAAGGCAACGAUCAGUAGCCGGUCUGAGAGGAUGACCGGCCACAUUGGAACUGAGACACGGUCCAAACUCCUACGGGAGGCAGCAGUGGGGAAUAUUGCACAAUGGGGGAAACCCUGAUGCAGCAACGCCGCGUGAGUGAAGAAGUAUUUCGGUAUGUAAAGCUCUAUCAGCAGGGAAGAUAAUGACGGUACCUGACUAAGAAGCGCCGGCUAAAUACGUG
rnacentral:rRNA from 1 species